AUGACUAAAGAUCGCAGCACAGAGCUGUGGUGGAGCUCAUGGGCCCACACCCCCUGCCUGAGACUCCCCAGAGCAUUCCACAUCCAGCCCUGUGCUCUGGAAGCUUUCAAAGAGAGGGAUAUAUCCCCUCCUCCACUAUCUUCCUGCCCCUCCUCAGAAAGACCAGAAGUCCAUCAGGAAUGUCCAUCCUCUCUUCUGCAGGAAUCUUUGGACUUCAUCCCUGUGAUGAAAUCAACUACAAGAAAUGAGUUAAUGUUUGACCAGGAUCACACAAGCUGCACAAGGAAACCAUGUGCCAGACCUUCUCUUCCUCCUUAUUUGCCUUACAAGGAACCACUGCAUCCCAGCUGAAAACGCCUCAGUGGGUGCAAGGUAUGUCUGUGAGGACACGUAUUGUCAGUCCAUGCCUGUAUCCUCUGGGCUGGAGCCAGGAGCAGGGAUUAGAUGAACUCCCAAGCAGACCUGUCUAGCAUGGUGGAGCUUCAUGGACACUUCUGCACAUGGAUAAAAGGUAAAGCAAUUUUUAAUAAUUUAAGAGUUUUUUAACUACAAAAGCAUUUUCUUUGGGCCAGGAAACACUUCCUUUUUUGUCUGCAGGGUUUGAUACAGUAGAUUUUGUGCAGACACAUCUUCUGUUACUAAUAGUGCUGGAUGCACAUAAAGCACUCUCAUACUGUACUGAAGACAUGAGUAACAAACCUAUCAACUGCACUUGCACUUACACCGUAUUUAAUCCUGCUCUGGUUGUUCUGCUACAUAUUCAUAAAAAACAAAAAGGAAACAGAAGCACAGAGCAAGCCAACAGAUGUCUACCUGGCUCUUAAUUGGAUUUUAUGUGUCCCCAGUGUAGCAAAUACAGCAUUAUUUACAGCCAGGCUCUAAGAAUUAGAUAUAUCUGGAGGAGUGGCAAAACCUGAACCAGGCUACAAGAGUUGAUGGAUUAACUGAAAUGAAGAGCUGCCCCAUUUUUCCCUUCUUAUCUUUUCCCUUCCCACUUAUGUACCCGUUCCCCAUUGUGUAUCAAAUCAAACUAAGAUAUUGCCCAAGAGAAUGCUUAUAAAAAUGAAAAAUGCCAACAAAAAAAAGAAUUUCUGCUCUUAGGGAGCUUCAUCAGCAUUUUCUAAUUGUACAGCAAUGAUGAUAAUAAAAAGGCUGCCCUGUGCUCUCA
rnacentral:lncRNA from 1 species